GAACUGCGAUAAGUAAUGUGAAUUGCAGAAUUCAGUGAAUCAUCGAGUCUUUGAACGCACAUUGCGCCCCCUGGCAUUCCGGGGGGCAUGCCUGUCCGAGCGUCAUUGCUGCCCUCCAAGCCCGGCUUGUGUGUUGGGUCGUCGUCCCCUCCGGGGGACGGGCCCGAAAGGCAGCGGCGGCACCGCGUCCGGUCCUCGAGCGUAUGGGGCUUUGUCACCCGCUCGAUAAGGACCGGCCGGGCGCCAGCCGGCGUCUCCAACCUUUUUUUCUCAGGUUGACCUCGGAUCAGGUAGGGAUACCCGCUGAACUUAAGC
rnacentral:misc_RNA from 1 species